AAUUCGACGCAACGCGAAGAACCUUACCAAGGCUUGACAUACACCGGAAACCCGUGGAGACACGGUCCCCCUUGUGGUCGGUGUACAGGUGGUGCAUGGCUGUCGUCAGCUCGUGUCGUGAGAUGUUGGGUUAAGUCCCGCAACGAGCGCAACCCUUGUCCUGUGUUGCCAGCACGCUCUCCGGGGUGGUGGGGACUCACGGGAGACUGCCGGGGUCAACUCGGAGGAAGGUGGGGACGACGUCAAGUCAUCAUGCCCCUUAUGUCUUGGGCUGCACACGUGCUACAAUGGCCGGUACAAUGAGCUGCGAUACCGCAAGGUGGAGCGAAUCUCAAAAAGCCGGUCUCAGUUCGGAUUGGGGUCUGCAACUCGACCCCAUGAAGUCGGAGUCGCUAGUAAUCGCAGAUCAGCAUUGCUGCGGUGAAUACGUUCCCGGGCCUUGUACACACCGCCCGUCACGUCACGAAAGUCGGUAACACCCGAAGCCGGUGGCCCAACCCUUGUGGAGGGAGCCGUCGAAGGUGGGACUGGCGAUGGACGAAG
rnacentral:rRNA from 1 species